rnacentral:rRNA from 1 species
UACGGAGGGAGCUAGCGUUAUUCGGAAUUACUGGGCGUAAAGCGCACGUAGGCGGCUUUCUAAGUCGGGGGUGAAAUCCUGGAGCUCAACUCCAGAACUGCCUUCGAUACUGGAGAGCUCGAGUCCGGGAGAGGUGAGUGGAACUGCGAGUGUAGAGGUGAAAUUCGUAGAUAUUCGCAAGAACACCAGUGGCGAAGGCGGCUCACUGGCCCGGUACUGACGCUGAGGUGACGAAGCGUGGGGAGCAAACAGG